GGAAGGAUCAUUAACAAGUCUGUGGCGGGCGGCAGAAAUGCCCUCGAGCACCACCACACAUGUGCCGCGCUGGCAGACUGACUAGUUUGGCAGCGUGGAUCUCAUUAUUCAUCUUUGACUGAAUUGCGUGGCAACGAAACAAUAACAACUUUUGACAAUGGAUCUCUUGGCUCUUGCACCGAUGAAGAACGCAGUAAAGUGCGAAACGUAGUGCGAUUUGCAUGCUCUGUGAGUCAUCGAGUCUUUGAACGCAUAUGGCGCCUCCCGGCCCUGCCCGGAGGCAUGCCUGUUUGAGAAUCGCAUCUUUCCAACUAAUUGGGCAUACACCAGUGUUGCCUGGAAGCGUCUGUUUUGCCACAGCUAGCACAGCAGUGUGAUUGGUGGUGGUGGCGCGACAAUGUAUCAACGAUCUCAAAUCAGGCAAGACUACCCGCCGAACUUAAGCAUAUCAGUAAGCGGAGGAACAGAAACUAACAAGGAUUCCCCUAGUAACGGCGAGUGAAGCGGGACGAGCUCAAAUUUGAAAUCUGGGGGCACCGCCCUCCGAAUUGUAGUUUCAAGACGCGCGCACUGGCUGGCGCGGAUCCGCACAAGUCUCCUGGAAUGGAGCAUCGCAGAGGGUGAGAAUCCCGUCGUGCGGGGCCGCGUCGGUCGCAGGGGCGCGUCGACGAGUCGAGUUGUUUGGGAAUGCAGCUCAAAAUGGGUGGUAAAUCUCAUCUAAGGCUAAAUACCGGCAAGAGACCGAUAGCGAACAAGUACCGUGAGGGAAAGAUGAAAAGCACCUUGGAAAGGGAGUUAAACAGCGCGUGAAAUUGUUAAAAGGGAAACGAUUGGCGCCAGUAUUGCGGCGCAGUUCCGCGGUCAAGCAUUAAUGUCCGCGCAGUCUGCGCCGCAGUCGGCGACGGUUUGCAGCGCCGCAUGAGCGUCGAGAAAGGUGGCGCAUUGCGCGCUUUACAGGCUCGACACGUGGCGGCGCGGCGGACCGGGGCGUCGUCGUGUUCAUUGCGUCAAAUGCGGCAAGCGAUUUAGUUGUGCAAGCAGCUGGGGCGCCCAACGCACACAAACACAAUGUGGACGGCGGGCCGACGAAAUGGCGCCAAACGACCCGUCUUGAAACACGGACCAAGGAGUCCAGCGUAUGUGCGAGUAUUUGGGUGGCAAACCCGGAUGCGCAAUGAAAGUGAGCGGCGGGAGGACCCUGCGUCUGCACCGCCAGCCGAUCGCCACGAGGCAGAUUCGCGUCGGAGCACAUCCGCUGGGACCCGAAAGAUGGUGAACUAUGCCUGAAUAGGGUGAAGCCAGGGGAAACUCUGGUGGAGGCCCGUAGCCGUUCUGACGUGCAAAUCGAUGGUCGAAUUUGGGUAUAGGGGCGAAAGACUAAUCGAACCAUCUAGUAGCUGGUUCCCUC
rnacentral:misc_RNA from 1 species